rnacentral:rRNA from 1 species
UGAGGAAUAUUGGGUCAAUGGGCGAGAGCCUGAACCAGCCAAGUAGCGUGCAGGAAGACGGCCCUAUGGGUUGUAAACUGCUUUUAUAAGGGAAUAAAGUGGGUCACGUGUGACUUUUUGCAUGUACCUUAUGAAUAAGGACCGGCUAAUUCCGUGCCAGCAGCCGCGGUAAUACGGAAGGUCCGGGCGUUAUCCGGAUUUAUUGGGUUUAAAGGGAGCGUAGGCCGGAGAUUAAGCGUGUUGUGAAAUGUAGUGGCUCAACCUCUGCACUGCAGCGCGAACUGGUCUUCUUGAGUACGCACAACGUGGGCGGAAUUCGUGGUGUAGCGGUGAAAUGCUUAGAUAUCACGAAGAACUCCGAUUGCGAAGGCAGCUCACGGGAGCGCAACUGACGCUGAAGCUCGAAAGUGCGGGUAUCGAACAGGAUUAGAUACCCUGGUAGU